rnacentral:rRNA from 1 species
GACGAACGCUGGCGGCGUGCCUAAUACAUGCAAGUCGAACGCGUCUACGUUAAUGAAAUCAAUGUGCUUGCACGGCGAUGGAUUUAACAUUAGACGAGUGGCGAACUGGUGAGUAACACGUGGGUAACCUGCCCUCAAGCAGGGGAUAACACUUGGAAACAGGUGCUAAUACCGUAUAACAACAAAAACCGCAUGGUUUUUGUUUGAAAGAUGGUUUCGGCUAUCACUUGAGGAUGGACCCGCGGCGUAUUAGCUAGUUGGUGAGGUAAUGGCUCACCAAGGCAAUGAUACGUAGCCGACCUGAGAGGGUAAUCGGCCACAUUGGGACUGAGACACGGCCCAAACUCCUACGGGAGGCAGCAGUAGGGAAUCUUCCACAAUGGACGAAAGUCUGAUGGAGCAACGCCGCGUGAGGGAUGACGGCCUUCGGGUUGUAAACCUCUUUUAGCAGGGAAGAAGCGAAAGUGACGGUACCUGCAGAAAAAGCACCGGCUAACUACGUGCCAGCCGCCGCAGUAAAA